GUGUCUGCUAAGAAAAUAGAGUCCUUGAAGUUAAGCUGACUCUGCUUUUAGUCUCCUAAAUGAAAAGGUAGAUAGAACAGGUCUUGUUUGCAAAAUGAAUUCAAGACUUAGUUAUCUACCAACAGCA
ensembl:snoRNA